GAAUGAAGUGAUGAUUGAACUUUGUUUCCCUAUUGGUUUGAUCGCCGAUAUGAUGGCAUACGUAUUAGCUCUAUCUGAUCAUUC
rnacentral:snoRNA from 14 species